ensembl:lncRNA
CACAGUUUUAGCUCAAGAAAAAAAAAUAUUUUGGUUCAUUUUUUUGCUUCUGCUGGUUGAUUCUUGGUCUAGGGACUUUUAAUAGUCCUUUAGAAGGCUGAGGGUUCAGAAACUCUACUCCAGAAGGUUGUGGGGAACUGCCAUCACUUUUCCAUGUUGUUCCCUUUUUCUGUGGCUAUGUGUGUGUAACUGCAACAUUUUUCUGCUGCCACUUCUCCAUGGCUGGGUUAGAUCAUUUAGGGUCCAGGAACACUUGCUAUUUCCCCAUUAUCCCUUCAUUCCCUUGGCUGAGAGGUUCUAAUUGUUGCCUCUUCAUUGCUGUCAUGUAGGGAGCUGGUUGCUCUCUAAAGACCUGUGUUGAUGUGGAGUCUUCAAAUAUCUUGCCUCCUUUUCCCUAACUCCACUGUUCCCAGUAGUCAGUCUGCUCUCAUUGACUAAGUAUCUCCCAAGUCAACAACCAUUUGAGUCAUAAAAAUCCAGUGGCCAGACAAAAUUCCAGACAACUGAUGAUGACUUGGGAUGCGGUGGAUGACCUUGGCUUUUCAGUAUCAAAUCAAGUUCUAAACACUCCACAGUGUCUGCGUCAUACUGCUUUCAGAGCCCCUGGAAGAAAUUGUUUGCAUCCACCCCUUCUGCUGGGGGGGUGGAUGAAUAUAUAACCUCCAUCUCCCAGAACUCAGGAUAACCAAGGGAAGAGAAAGGGAGAAUGCCGGAACAAUGUGAGAGCAGGUCAUCAGAACACAGAGAAAUAGGUGUACAGACCCAGAGGAUAUUUGUUGUUCUUUAUCAAGUUAUAAAUGGGAAGUCAAAGGAAAAGGAGGGAUUGAAUCUCAACUCUCAUACCCACAUAUGUUUCCUUCAUGUUUCGUGUGAGUAUUAUAUACAACUUAAUUAAAAAUUCUAUCAUAAGCUAAAGAUUCUCAGGCCACCUGAGAGCCAUAUUUCAUAUGUAUGAAAUCAUAGCUGUGAAAUGGAACAUUUUUCCCCAAUGUGGGAAAGACCCAGAACAGCUGUUAUAGUGUUUGUAACAAUCUUGUUGGAGAAAGCAAACAACUCAAUUGAUGUCAUAAUGUUACCUCCCAAGAAUCCGCUUUGUGUUACCAACUUGUAGGGAACUGCUAGUUCAGAAAACGUCUUAGGUAAUAUGUUUUCCUUCUUUUCUCUUGUAUUUUUUUUUUGUUUCCUUGUGCCUCAGAAUCUUAUUUAAAAACAAAACAAACAAAACAAUACUCAAACCUCAGAGGAGGCAAAGGAAGGUAGUAUAUAUGAUUUUAGUGAAAAUUGAAUCUAGGAAUCAAUCAAUUAGGUCAUGAACAUUUCUUGAUAAAUUCUUGUCAUAGUCUUCAAGUAUGUGAAAUAUAAAGUGUAUGUCAGUGUCAUCAAUCCCAUUUUCCUCCUCUUCCACCCUCCUAGAAUUUAUUGAUUCUUUGUUAGGAGAAUCCAUUGGGUAGAUGGAAUAAUUUAAGAAAAGACAAAUUAGCUCCCUUUCUACAAAGUACAAUUGGGAAAAGAGAAAGAUAUUAUAAAUGACUCAUAAUUUAAAAAAGCAAGUUACCUUGAAUAUUCUGAUUAAGAUAAACACCUUUGGAGGGAAAACAUGUCAUAACUUUAAUACUAGAUAAUUUUGGACCAUUACCAUUUCUUUUCCCCUGUUCAAAAGUCCUUCCUUGCCAUGCAAAAGAAUAGGUUCCACUUAUUUAAUUGGGCAGAAAUAAACCAGAACUUCAUAGUUCUUUAGUUCCUAAG